UACGGAGGGAGCUAGCGUUGUUCGGAAUUACUGGGCGUAAAGCGCACGUAGGCGGCUUUUUAAGUCAGAGGUGAAAUCCCCCGGGGCUCAACCCCCGGAACUGCCUUUCGUAAGACUGGAAAGGACUAGAAUACUUUGGUAGGAGGCGGAGUGGAAUUACCGUAGUGUAGAGGUGAAAUUACGUAGAUAUUCGGAAGAACACCAGUGGCGAAGGCGACUCGCUGGACAAGUAUUGACGCUGAGGUGCGAAAGCGUGGGGAGGCAAACAGGAUUAGAUACCCCUCGUAGU
rnacentral:rRNA from 1 species